UAAAAUAAAGUAAUUAAGAAAUUAAAACUUAACGUAUUGAUCAAAAUAUAGAACAAUAACCCAUGGAAACUUGUAGUCUCCAGCUCCCUUGUUAUGACUAUGUACGAUCAAACAUGAACAAAUUCAGAAAGUUUAAUCGUUUCUUACUAAAACCAGACACAAUCCCUAGUCUUGCAAUAUGGCUUCUCUGCUGGUUUUAUUGCAAUCUUGUGGGCCAAGUAAAACCUUUCUUCUCGACCAGAUUUAGAAUCGUGCGCAGAUCGACGACAUGGAUUUUCUUCAAAUUUGAAUGAAGCUGAAACGUCCCUGUCCCUCGACCGACAAAUGAAAUGACCCUGCCACCAAUGUCUCUUUG
rnacentral:lncRNA from 1 species